GAGGUGAGCAUGUUUACCUCCAUGGGGAAACGCAGCAAGAGCUGUCCAGGUGCGGUAGGCAGAGCAAGGACAGGCGCCAGGCCCAGAAAAGCAGCAAAACCAGGUCAGCGACACCAAGGCUGACCUCGGGACCAAGUGCAUUGACUAAUAGCCCCUGCCCUGGCUCCCACCCAUCAAUCAGUGGAGACCACCAUCCUGAAAGGACACACGUGGAAAACUGAUGAGUAUUUCAUUGAGAUCUUUCCCUGGGACCUCCCCUAAAAUCUCCACCCUUACAACCCUUAGGAGGAGGACCCAGCCAUGCUGCUUUCCUUCCCUGAGCAUGCCCCCUUGCCCCCCACCCUUUCCCUUCCCCCUCCCUCUCCCUAUCUCCUCAGUGGCAUCACCUGUACCUUCCUCACUUCUAAGCUACAAGGGCCCUUCCUUCACCUCUAUAACUUGUUUCCUAAGCCCACUUCUUCUACAAAUUACUUACUUCACCUCUGUGACUUUCCAAAUAAAUGUUCUCUUAUGGUUUGA